CAGUAGCCGCGGUAAUACGUAGGGUCCGAGCGUUGUCCGGAAUUAUUGGGCGUAAAGGGCUCGUAGGCGGUUUGUCGCGUCGGGAGUGAAAACCAGCAGCUUAACUGCUGGCCUGCUUUCGAUACGGGCAGACUUGAGGCAUUCAGGGGAGAACGGAAUUCCUGGUGUAGCGGUGAAAUGCGCAGAUAUCAGGAGGAACACCGGUGGCGAAGGCGGUUCUCUGGGAAUGUUCUGACGCUGAGGAGCGAAAGUGUGGGGAGCGAACAGGAUUAGAUACCCCUGUAGUCCCUGUCUCUUAUAC
rnacentral:rRNA from 1 species